rnacentral:lncRNA from 1 species
CCGAUGCCACCUCUUGAUGAAUUUCUGAACAAAAUAAGAGGGCGGUCCCUUCAUUGUUUCUGGCCACAAUUCCCGAAGCAGAUUAGAAAUGACGCCCAUCGUAUGCUCCGUCAAAAUUGAUUUUUACGGACGCACCAGGUGAGUAACUCCAUUUUUUAAACCCUUUUAAAAUAAUGGGAAUUCUUUUUUCAACACUAUUUAAUUAGGUAAUAUAAUUAUUGACGAAACUCACUAUUUCCUGACCAGUGCUACUUUUCUUAUCAUGCAUUCUAGCAUUCCUUUCUCCCCAAAUGGCCAAUAGUACACAGCAAAAAAAGUCGGCAUUGGAAAAAGGGAUAUUGAACAAAAACCCAGGUAAGCCACUGUAAAAAAUCCAUAUUAGAAUCCAUUACAAUAUUCGAGAUUGAUAAUGUUGCCUAGACUUCCACUGAAACAGGGCAUUUGUGGAAGAGGUGAUCAAUUAUUUCUACUCUUCCUCCACAUCAAGGGCAGGUUGUAAUGUUAACUAGCUUUUUGUGCUGCAUGUUAACCCGUAUAGGAAAAUAAUUCCAUGAUAUUCUCCAGAUUGUAAUCUUGAUUUUAGUAGGGAGAUUUUGGAGCCAAAGUUUUUUUUGUAGAAAUUCCAGUAGUCGGUUUGUAAAACAUAAGCUCUAGGGUUUUCACCAGAAUUUUGUAAUAGUUUAUAGGCGCUACAGACCGAGUACUCUCCCGAAGAUUCACUGCUCCAUAAAAGACAGUCAUCGUGGGGUUCUUUCGCCAACAGGAUACGGAGGAUAUUUUCAGCAUUUUCCUCCGAAAAGG